GGUUGUUUCGUCUAGUGGUAGGAUUCUUGCUUUUGGUUCAAAGGCCGUAAGUUCAAUUCUGACAACAUCCC
rnacentral:tRNA from 1 species